rnacentral:rRNA from 1 species
CAGCAGCCGCGGGAAUACGUAGGGUGCAAGCGUUGAUCAGAAUUACUGGGCGUAAAGCGUGCGCAGGCGGUUAUAUAAGACAGAUGUGAAAUCCCCGGGCUCAACCUGGGAACUGCAUUUGUGACUGUAUAGCUAGAGUACGGCAGAGGGGGAUGGAAUUCCGCGUGUAGCAGUGAAAUGCGUAGAUAUGCGGAGGAACACCGAUGGCGAAGGCAAUCCCCUGGGCCUGUACUGACGCUCAUGCACGAAAGCGUGGGGAGCAAACAGGAUUAGAUACCCCUGUAGUCCCUGUCUCUUAUAC